rnacentral:rRNA from 1 species
CUACGGGUCGCACCAGUGAGGAAUUUUGCGCAAUGGGGGAAACCCUGACGCAGCAACGCCGCGUGAGUGAAGAAGGCCCUUGGGUCGUAAAGCUCUGUCAAUGGGGAAGAAGUUAUUAUGUGUUAAUAGCACAUUUUAUUGACGGUACCCAUGAAGGAAGCACCGGCUAACUCCGUGCCAGCAGCCGCGGUAAUACGGGGGGUGCAAGCGUUAUUCGGAAUUAUUGGGCGUAAAGGGCACGCAGGCGGUCCUGUCAGUCAGAUGUGAAAGCCCGGGGCUCAACCCCGGACGUGCAUUUGAAACAGCAGGACUUGAGUACGGGAGAGGAAAGGGGGAUUCCUGGUGUAGAGGUGAAAUUCGUAGAUAUCAGGAGGAACACCGGUGGCGAAGGCGCCUUUCUGGACCGAUACUGACGCUGAGGUGCGAAGGCGUGGGUAGCGAACGGGAUUAGAUACCCCAGUAGUC